ACUGCUGCUUUUUCCGCUGGGGAAAGGAGAGGAACUGAUGGAAUGAGAUACCAAUUAUACCAAUUCUCUCUACUGAUAGUGUCAACAGCUGAUGUACCAACAAAAGGCCAAAACAUCAGAGGCAGAUAUUGGUGGUAUGUCAGUAGAGGCUGAACCUGCCCAACAGUACUCCAUUCCAUGUUGUUGCUGUGUGACAGAUGGCAGCAGAGGGGCCUGACAAAAUGGCGUCUGACAUGGAAAUGUGUGCAAAGCAAAGGUGUGUCAUUGAAUUCCUCC
ensembl:lncRNA